ACUUGGUGGGAGACGCUCAAGAGAGCAAGAUGUUCUCGUGUUGCUUCUCCACUUUGAGAGGUUGCUGCUUCAGGAACGGAGGGAGUGAGAGCCUUUUCUGACGAUGCCGAAGAAGGCUCAUCCCUCACCCCAGACGCCUGUCGCCCGUUGUAAUAAGGCGCAUCCAGCUCCUGGUCCAUGUGCAGAAGUAAGAGCACUGCCAGCACCAGCGGCGGAGCCAGAGCCAGCAUGGGAAGAGGCCCCUCCAGAGAGAGCACUGGAGCUGGAGGGAGCUCCAGCCAAGGACCAGACCAAUGAGGAGCUGCCUGAAAUCACGGAGGUGCCGGAGAGCAUUAAAAGAAGGCUGGGAGGAAGAGUUCCAGCAGCUACGCCUGCUCCCAGAGGCAACCUCCUCCUCCAGGCAUGGAUGCGGGUCCACAGCUGGGCAUCCAGGCUGUUUGCCCCUAAUGUGCUGCCCGGGACAGGCCCUUAACAGGCGGGCAGUGGGUGAGGGGACCAGGAGGUGGCUCCAAAGGGUAAAGCAAACAAAGCUUUUAACGACAGCCGUUGUGCCCCAGGCUCUCCAUGCCACCACCUGCCCUACCAUUUAUUAAUAGUGUUAGAAUUACAAGUUGAUGAAACGAGAUUACAAUAAAGUUUGAUUUC
rnacentral:lncRNA from 1 species